rnacentral:rRNA from 1 species
ACGGGUGAGUAACACGUAAGUAAUCUACCUUCGAGUGGGGAAUAACAGUCGGAAACGACUGCUAAUACCGCAUAAUGCAGCGGCAUCGCAAGAUGACAGUUGUUAAAGAUUUAUCGCUUGAAGAGGAGCUUGCGGCAGAUUAGCUAGUUGGUAAGGUAAUGGCUUACCAAGGCUACGAUCUGUAACCGGUCUAAGAGGACGGUCGGUCACACUGACACUGAAUAACGGGUCAGACUCCUACGGGAGGCAGCAGUCGGGGAUUUUGGGCAAUGGGGGAAACCCUGACCCAGCAACGCCGCGUGAAGGAUGAAGUAUUUCGGUAUGUAAACUUCGAAAGAAUAGGAAGAAUUAAUGACGGUACUAUUUAUAAGGUCCGGCUAACUACGUGCCAGCAGCCGCGGUAAUACGUAGGGACCAAGCGUUGUUCGGAUUUACUGGGCGUAAAGGGCGCGUAGGCGGCGUGGUAAGUCACUUGUGAAAUCUCUGAGCUUAACUCAGAACGGCCAAGUGAUACUGCUGUGCUAGAGUGCAGAAAGGGGCAAUCGGAAUUCUUGGU